AAAGCUACUGUCGUCUGUUGGUGGGGAACCACACUUGGAGAACGCUGAUCUAAGCCAUAGACAGCGGAAAACCAGUCUCGAACAGAAGAUAAAGAAGGGAGUUAAAACUAGAUGAAAUUGCAGAGGCACUCGUUCGGUGAAACCUAGGUGAGAAACUACAUCUUUAUUUCUGACUGAAGGAGGAGGUGGAGUCUUCAGCCAGGAGCGAAGAUUAGCCCUGAGCUAACAUCUACCACUAAUCCUCCUCUUUUUGCUGAGGAAGACUGGCCCUGAGCUAACAUCCGUGCCCAUCUUCCUCUACUUUGUAUGUGGGAUGCCUGCCACAGCAUGGCUUGACAAGUGAUGCUAGGUCUGCACCCAGGAUCUGAACUGGCAAACCCUGGGCCACCAAAAUGGAGAGUGUGAACUUAAUCGCUGCACCACGGAGCUGGCCCCUAUGUGUGACUUUUUGAGGACCGCUGGUGGGCUGGUUCUCAAUUCUAUCAGUCAGUGUGCAGAGCCGACUCUUCCCUGGAGCCCCCACCAACAUCUUGAAUUUUGUCUGCUCGAGAAAUUAACCAAUCUACAGACAAUCUCUAAGUUUCCUUCUCGCUAACAGGGAAACUUUCUGUCUCCGCAACAAUUCUCUUUCCAAAGAGCUGUUUAAAGGAACAGAUCUAAAGAAGAAAUGAGUGACCUGGAAAAUUCACAACUAGGACAGUUCAGAAUAACUUGCCUAUGCAAUGAACAGAGAUUUUUCAUACCUCUUCUGGUACACCCUAGUUAUUUCUAGAAGGGAAGAUGAUCAAACUAAAGACAAACAAAAAGCUCUCGAGUGAAAACAAACAAAAAUCUUGCCAGAUGCCUUUGAGCCAGACGCUGCUCAGCAAGACUUCUCUGCUGCCUGCCUGAGAGCAUUGGAGCAUUGGAGCAUCGGAGCAUCGGAGCAUCAGAGCAUCAGAGCAUCUGGGAGAGCUGCUGCUCAGGUGAGCCCCCAGGAUGACUGGGAAGCACUUCAGAGCUGGCUGCCCCCAACAACAGGCCUCGCUUCCCUUGACCCCUCUUUCCCCUUUGCACCCUCACC
rnacentral:lncRNA from 1 species